AUUGUCAUCCCAAUGUCUGUUGCUGCAACAACUCGCGUAGAGAAACUGCAAUACAAGGAAAUCCUUACUCCCAGGUUUUGCAGCUGGCGGGAGGUUGAUCUUCAGUCUCUGAAGGGGAGUCCUGAUGAGGAGAAUGAGGAGAUUGAGGACCUAUCCGACGCAGCCUUCGCCGCCCUGCAUGCCAAAUGUGAGGAGAUGGAGAGGGCACGGUGGCUGUGGACCACGAGUGUGCCACCCCAGCGGCGGGGUAGCAGGUCCUACAGGUCAUCAGACGGCCGGACAACCCCCCAGCUGGGCAGUGCCAACCCCUCCACCCCCCAGCCUGCCUCCCCUGAUGUCAGCAGUAGCCACUCUUUGUCAGAAUACUCCCAUGGUCAGUCCCCUAGGAGCCCCAUUAGCCCGGAACUGCACUCAGCACCCCUCACCCCUGUGGCUCGGGACACUCCGCGACACUUAGCCAGUGAGGAUACCCGUUGUUCCACGCCAGAGCUGGGGCUGGAUGAACAGUCUGUCCAGCCCUGGGAGCGGCGGACCUUCCCCCUGGCGCACAGUCCCCA
rnacentral:sRNA from 1 species